UGAAUACGAGAUGCUACGGCGUCGAAGCAGUCUAUGUCAUACUUCCAAGAAAAGCUUGCACUGUCAUAAACAAAUAAUGCCUGUACCAUAACCGACACAGGUGGGUAGGUAGAGUAUACUAAGGGGCGCGAGAUAACUCUCUCUAAGGAACUCGGCAAAAUGACUCCGUAACUUCGGGAGAAGGAGUGCCUUAUUUAUAAGGUUGCAAUAACAAGAUCCAAGCAACUGUUUACCAAAAACACAGGUCUCCGCUAAGUCGUAAGACGAUGUAUGGGGGCUGACGCCUGCCCAGUGCCAGAAGGUUAAAGAAGUUGGUUAGCAUCCGCGAAGCUGAUAACUGAAGCCCAGGUGAACGGCGGCCGUAACUAUAACGGUCCUAAGGUAGCGAAAUUCCUUGUCGGGUAAGUUCCGACCCGCACGAAGGGCGUAAUGAUUUGGAUACUGUCUCGGAGAGGGGCUCGGUGAAAUAGACUUGUCUGUGAAGAUGCGGACUACCUGCACCAGGACAGAAAGACCCUAUGAAGCUUUACUGUAACCUGAAAUUGAAAUUGGACUUUACUUGCGCAGUAUAGGCGGGAGGCGUUGAGAAUAUUCUCGCGGGAUUAUUGGAGCCAUCAGUGAGAUACCACUCUUGUAAUGUUAGAUUUCUAACUUUAUAUCAUUAUCUGGUCAAAGAACAGUUUCAGGCGGGCAGUUUGACUGGGGCGGUCGCCUCCUAAACGGUAACGGAGGCGCACAAAGGUUUCCUCUGAACGGGUAGAAAUCGUAUCUAGAGUGUAAAGGCAUAAGGAAGCUUGACUGUGAGACCUACAAGUCGAGCAGGGACGAAAGUCGGUCUUAGUGAUCUGACGGUGCUGAGUGGAAAGGCCGUCACUCAACGGAUAAAAGUUACUCUAGGAUAACAGGCUGAUCUCCCCCAAGAGUUCACAUCGACGGGGAGGUUUGGCACCUCGAUGUCGGCUCACCGCAUCCUGGGGCGGUAGUACGUCCCAAGGGUUGGGCUGUUCGCCCAUGAAAGCGGUACGCGAGCUGGGUUCAGAACGUCGUGAGACAGUUCGGUCCAUAUCCGGUGUAGGCGUUAGAAUAUUGAGAGGAGCCUUCUUUAGUACGAGAGGACCGAGAAGGACAUACCUCUGGUGUACCAGUUAUCGUGCCAACGGUAAACGCUGGGUAGCUAUGUGUGGAGUGGAUAACCGCUGAAAGCAUCUAAGUGGGAAGCCCACCUCAAGAUGAUUGCUCUCACAGGGUUAACCUGGUAAGGUCACGGGAAGACCACCCGUUGAUAGGCACUCGGUGGAAGUCCAGC
rnacentral:rRNA from 1 species